CCCGACUGCUAUUUGGGUGAGAAUAAGCCAUGCAAGUCGAAUGGAAUGCCAAAAUAUUCCAUGGCAAACUGCUCAAUAACACGUGAUCAACUUACCCUAUGGAAAACAAUAACCUCUGGAAACGGAGGAUAAUGGUUUAUAGUUGAAAAGGCUUGGAAAAGUUUUUCAAUAAAAGGGAAUAAUAAAAAUGGUUAUUAUUUUGUCAUAGGAUAGGAUUGCGGUCGAUUAUGGCUGUUGGUGAGGUAAUGGCUCACCAAACCAAUAAUCGAUAGGGGCCGUGAGAGCGGGAGCCCCGAGAUGGGUACUGAGACAACGACCCAGGCCUUACGAGGCGCAGCAGGCGCGAAAACUCCGCAAUACACGAAAGUGUGACGGGGUUACCCAAAGUGCUUAAUAUUUAAGCUGUGGUAAGUGUGUAAUGUACCUUACUAGAAAGGAGAGGGCAAGGCUGGUGCCAGCCGCCGCGGUAAAACCAGCUCUUCAAGUGGUCGGGAUAUUUAUUGGGCUUAAAGUGUCCGUAGCUUGUAUAAUAAGUUCCUGGUAAAAUCUAAUAGCUUAACUAUUAGUGUGCUAGGAAUACUGUUAUACUAGAGGGCGGGAGAGGUUUGAGGUACUUCAGGGGUAGGGGUGAAAUCCUAUAAUCCUUGAAGGACCACCAGUGGCGUAGGCGUCAGACUGGAACGCGCCUGACAGUGAGGGACGAAAGCCAGGGGAGCGAACCGGAUUAGAUACCCGGGUAGUCCUGGCCGUAAACGAUGCACACUAGGUGUUGGUAUGGCUAUGAGCCAUAUCAGUGCCGAAGGGAAACCAUUAAGUGUGCCGCCUGGGAAGUACGGUCGCAAGGCUAAAACUUAAAGGAAUUGGCGGGGGAGCACCACAAGGGGUGAAGCCUGCGGUUCAAUUGGAUUCAACGCCGG
rnacentral:rRNA from 1 species